CAUAACUUGUAUGUAUAAGGAAAAUAAAUUAAGUUUCGCUGAAAGGCGUUUGAAAUAAUGUUUCGCGCUGAGGCAUUUGUUGAUUGUUAUUAAAUGCUUUUACGUCUAAAUGCUUAUUAAGGAAGCUGUCGAUGGUCAACAAAUAUUAUAUAACUCUCCGUACUACAAAUAAGUAAGCGCGGCUGGAAUCCAGAUAAAAUGACAAAGUUAUUUAGAAAUAAGCGGAUUAGCAGCGAGAGAACUAUUCUUGGUUGUGAUACAUGAAGUAAUUUACAGUGGAUUCCCAAAAUUAAGAAUAAUUGAGUGACGAAUGCCGUUGAGUUUGUAAUAAGCAAUGACUGGAAAAAGCAGCUGAAAGUUAGCAGAUUUAUAUGUACAUAUACAUGUGAAUAGCGUCGGACUGUGUACUUGCCAUAAUUGACUUACUCAUUAAAAAUAUACAGUACGUAAAAUUAA